GGGGAAUUGGUGGAUAUAUCACGUUAGAUUGUCACUCUAGAGUAACAGCUUUGUCGCUGUAUUCCCCU
rnacentral:tRNA from 1 species